rnacentral:misc_RNA from 1 species
AGGAAACAAAGAACUGAGGUAUUGAUGCUUCAUUCUAUAUAUGUGGAUAAUUCCAAUUCCAUCUUGCUGCUUAUUCAAGGUUGGGAAUUCAAAAUUUCUACUUUGCUUAGGAUAAGCAUCUUUCAUCUUUUCUUUCAUUUGCCCUUAAUGAUUUCAUGUCCCAACAAUUAAACAAAAGUUUGGCUCUAAACAAAAUAGAGUGGAGAGAAAGAAUCCAUGUAGAUGACUCCCUGUGUUUUGAGACUGAAGCUGUACUUGAAUUGAGUUACUAUCUCCUUUCUUUUAUGUUAAAAAAAUAAAAAAACCUAAUGUUUGGUGCUUCAUUCUUUCUGUAUUAUUGGUUGAACUAAGCCUAUAUUAAAUUGUAGAUUUUUUGUGGAGCACUUCCUGGAAAAACUACUUGGUCAGCUGCCAAGUAAUUCCAAGCCCAUUUGGUAUUCAUAUUGUUUUUGGGUUUUGUUUUCAAGCAGUGAAAUGUUAUUUUGAAAAAACAAGUUGAUGAAACAAGUA